rnacentral:misc_RNA from 1 species
AAGUCGUAACAAGGUUUCCGUAGGUGAACCUGCGGAAGGAUCAUUACAAAUCUGGUUGUGUUGUGUGUGUGGGUGUGGGUGGGUUGGGUGUGUUGUUUGGUGAGGUGGUGGGGAUGCUGCGAUGCUUGUCACUGCAGCGUCACCAUCAGCCAUCACUCACUUGCUCUAUCUACUCCCUUACUACCACUCACUACAUUAGCACAGGCGCUGCACACACAUCAAUGCAUGUGUGACGCAGCACCUGAUGUUUACGCUUGCAUGUUUGGCAGAGUCAAUAUGAUGAUGUUUACCAAUAAUUAUGAUACAACUUUUAACAAUGGAUCUCUUGGCUCUU